CGAAAAUAAAUAAAAUAAUGAGAGAAAAAUAAAGAGCGAGUCUUAAUAGGGCGAUUGUCACUGCUUAUGGACCCGAACCUGGGUGAUCUAUCCAUGACCAGGAUGAAGCUUGGAUGAAACUAAGCAGAGGUCCGAACCGACUGAUGUUGAAGAAUUAGCGGAUGAGUUGUGGUUAGGGGUGAAAUGCCACUCGAACCCAGAGCUGGUUCUCCCCGAAAUGCGUUGAGGCGCAACAGUUGACUGGACAUCUAGGGGUAAAGCACUAUUUCGGUGCGGGCUGCGCAAGCGGUACCAAAUCGAGGCAAACUCUGAAUACAAGAUAUGACCCAAAAAUAACAGGGGUUAAGGUCGGCCAGUGAGACGAAGGGGGAUAAGCUUCAUCGUCGAGAGGGAAACAACCCAGAUCACCAGCUAAGCCCCCUAUAUGACUUCUUCAAAACAGAGGAAAUAAUUGAAAUUUAAUUUUAAAUAAAAAUAUUUUUAUUUGAUUUUCAUUUGAGAUUUAUUCGAGUAAAUUAGGGAAAAUUGCAUUUAAAAA
rnacentral:ncRNA from 1 species